UACAGAGGUGGCAAGCGUUGUUCGGAAUUACUGGGCGUAAAGGGCGCGUAGGCGGCCCGUCAAGUCCCGUGUGAAAGCCCCCGGCUCAACCGGGGAACGGCGCGGGAAACUAGCAGGCUUGAGUUCGGGAGAGGGAAGCGGAAUUCCGGGUGUAGCGGUGAAAUGCGCAGAUAUCCGGAGGAACACCGGUGGCGAAGGCGGCUUCCUGGACCGACACUGACGCUGAGGUGCGAAAGCGUGGGGAGCAAACAGG
rnacentral:rRNA from 1 species